UGAGUUGCUCCUGGAAUAUUUUUCAUCAUAUCCUUCUCCAGAUUAAGCCUAAAGCUUGCAUCUAGCCUGAAACAAUGGCCUCAAAGACAGAUGUGGUUUCCACUCUCUUUGUGGUAGAAUGCAUCUCUGCCAUCUGAAUGGAAGUUCCAAAGCUGCCUCCUCAGUUUGACUGGUCUCUGGUUUGUUCUUCAGCUUUAUUGUCACUGCAUUACAUCUGCCUCCAAAGAUUUGCUACUGUCUUCACUUAUGUCUCUCUUUGGGCUGACAAUGUUGCCUUUGGACUUACACCUUGAAAAUCUCUCAGGUGACAUUGCUGCUUUACUCUCCACCACCCAUAAUGCAGAAGGCAGUGGCAGAAGCAUGGGCAUGAAAUGAGUCUCUAACAAGAGAAACUGCAGUGUCAAGAGGCCACAGUAGGUGACUACAUAAGUAGCACUUAUCUUUUAUGAAAGCUUCAACUUGGGGAAUGGAAGUCUUUGUUGUGCUGCCAUGAAGAAAGUAAUUUGCCAUCUCCCAUGUGUCUGCAAUUCUUCUGCUUUUCCUGAAGAUAAAGGACAAAGAGCCUUCCACAACAUAGCUCGUUCUGCACAUCUGCCUUGAAAUGAGAGAAGCUGAGGUAGAUUUUUGUGUGAAGUGGCAAUUCUCUUCUCUUUGCAAUCACAUGGAGCUGCAUGACUCCAGUGGAUGUUGAACAAGGACGUACUGAAUGGAUCAGAUUUAAGUCACAUAUUCCCAAGCAUGGGAAGCCGGCCAGGUGUCUAUGAUUGGCUAUCUUGCUAAAUUGUGAAUUUCUGCAACUGGAAAAAAACAACAGGAUGCUAACUACCCUUCCUGUCUAUUAACAAAAAAAGUGGGAGAAUAAAAUUUACUUCAUAAUUCACACAACUUUUCAAAGCCUUUUCAGACUUUAAGCGGGGCUUAACAGUAAAGUUCCUUCCUCCUGUAAAAUUCUCACAUUGAUCAUUACUUUCUGCCUACACAAAUUUCCUAUUCACUUUCAAAUGUAUGAGUCACUGUUGAGCUGAGUAUGUAUUUUAUUUUGAGUGCUGGUAUUCCAUCAAAAUGUUAUCAACAGAACUGCAUCCUUCACUUUCUCCCUUAUAUUUUCCGUGCACUGUUGUUGUGCCCUGGUGAGUAAUGUGUAGAAUGGUGCAGGAUGGAGCAUAGCUUAUGCUGUAUUGAACAGUGCUUGUGUUUCACUCCAGAAAUGUAAGCUUUUAAUUAAUGAAAACAAGAAGCUCUGAAACCUGAAAGCAUCUAAAACUAGCUAAUUGUUUUAAAGGGACAGGAACAUAAUAUUUAAAUUGGACUUCAAAAAGCAUAAGUAUACAGAGCGCAGAAAGGUAUAAGAGGAAUAUGUAUGGUGGGUUUGUCACUGAACUGUAAUUAGAAACUGUUCUGGUAACUCAUAUGAAAGUGGUUAUGACACAAAUGGCUGAGUAGAUACAAAAUCUACAGAGACUUUGUUACUAGGCUUUUCAUCUUUAUAAGUAUUGGGAAUUCAAAAAUUUGCCUUUUAGAAAAAAAACAGUGCUUAGUACUUUGUAUUUUGUUACAAUUCUUUGCAAUAGAAAACAGAAAUAGUGUUGCACAUUAUAUGACUCAGAAUAUUUGUAUGAAAAGAAAAUCUACAAAGUGAAUAUGAAUCAAUGUUUUAAUUUUAAAUAAAGAGAGGGUUCUGA